rnacentral:rRNA from 1 species
CCUACGGGAGGCAGCAGUAAGGAAUCUUCCACAAUGGACGAAAGUCUGAUGGAGCAACGCCGCGUGCAGGAUGAAGGCUUUCGGGUCGUAAACUGCUUUUAUAUGGGAAGAUUAUGACGGUACCAUAUGAAUAAGGACCGGCUAACUACGUGCCAGCAGCCGCGGUAAUACGUAGGGUCCAAGCGAUAUCCGGAAUUACUGGGCGUAAAGCGUGUGUAGGUGGAUUAAUAAGUGUGAUGCGAGAUCCGGCGGCUCAACCGUUUGGACUGUGUCGCAUACUGUUAGUCUAGAGGACGGCAGAGGUAAGUGGAAUUACGGGUGUAGCAGUGAAAUGCGUAGAUAUCCGUAGGAACACCAAUGGCGAAGGCAGCUUACUGGGCCACACCUGACGACUGAGACACGAAAGCGUGGGGAGCGAACAGGAUUAGAUACCCUGGUAGUCCACGCCGUAAACGAUGCAUACUAUUAGUAUGGGGUAUCGACCCCCUGUGCUGAGAAGCUAACGCGAUAAGUAUGCCGCCUGGGGAGUACGAGCGCAAGCUUAAAACUCAAAUGAAAUUGACGG